AGUGAACGCUAGCGGUAGGCCUAACACAUGCAAGUCGAACGGCAGCACAGUAAGAGCUUGCUCUUACGGGUGGCGAGUGGCGGACGGGUGAGGAAUACAUCGGAAUCUACUUUUUCGUGGGGGAAAACGUAGGGAAACUUACGCUAAUACCGCAUACGACCUACGGGUGAAAGCAGGGGAUCUUCGGACCUUGCGCGAUUAAAUGAGCCGAUGUCGGAUUAGCUAGUUGGCGGGGUAAAGGCCCACCAAGGCGACGAUCCGUAGCUGGUCUGAGAGGAUGAUCAGCCACACUGGAACUGAGACACGGUCCAGACUCCUACGGGAGGCAGCAGUGGGGAAUAUUGGACAAUGGGCGCAAGCCUGAUCCAGCCAUACCGCGUGGGUGAAGAAGGCCUUCGGGUUGUAAAGCCCUUUUGUUGGGAAAGAAAAGCAGCAGGUUAAUACCCCGCUGUUCUGACGGUACCCAAAGAAUAAGCACCGGCUAACUUCGUG
rnacentral:rRNA from 1 species